CAAGGCUUGACAUAUAGAGGAAACGUGCAGAAAUGUACGCCCCGCAAGGUCUCUAUACAGGUGGUGCAUGGUUGUCGUCAGCUCGUGUCGUGAGAUGUUGGGUUAAGUCCCGCAACGAGCGCAACCCUCGUCCUAUGUUGCCAGCACGUAAUGGUGGGAACUCAUGGGAGACUGCCGGGGUCAACUCGGAGGAAGGUGGGGAUGACGUCAAAUCAUCAUGCCCCUUAUGUCUUGGGCUUCACGCAUGCUACAAUGGCCAGUACAAAGGGCUGCAAUACCGCAAGGUGGAGCGAAUCCCAAAAAGCUGGUCUCAGUUCGGAUUGAGGUCUGCAACUCGACCUCAUGAAGUCGGAGUCGCUAGUAAUCGCAGAUCAGCAAC
rnacentral:rRNA from 1 species